rnacentral:lncRNA from 1 species
GCAGAGGGCAUGGUAGAAUUGGUUCGCCUAGCAGUAUCAGAUCCUAUACACUGGCGGCUUCGUUGGUACGCAUGUUGUAGCCCAUAGAUUGAUAAAAAUUCUAUCUUUAAAUUAAUUUUAUAUUGAAUUAAUUAUAUAUAUAUUUAAUUUAAUUUUAUUAUUUAUUUAUUAUAGAUAUGGCAGCUAGGUCAUGCACCAGGACAGC